UUUUGUCCUCCUGGUAUUUAUCGUGUCAAUGAUUUACCUCGCAUGCAGUUACUGUGCCAUCCGGCGCUCGCUCGGGACGCCAGAUUCUGCCAACAGUACGGUGGUGUGGAUGGGCCAAGACGCCCAUGAGCUGACCUACACCUGCCCUGAGUGCCAGCAGCCAAGUCAAGAGUCAAGGGCCAGUUAAAGGCUGCAGAAACAGGCUCCUGAUGUCCUCUGCCUCGUGCCUCCACCUCAGUUUGUGCCUUACGUUCUGAUGCUAAAUGCAUCGAGCUGCCCGGCAAAAAGCCAAAGAAACCUCAGCGAAGACAAAAUAAUAAUCGAUUGAAACCC